CUGACCUCGAGGGAGGCACAGUGCCUGGAAAACACCAGGGACCCAAGACUCCGGCCCUACGUGGUUCGCCUUCUAGCGGGAGGAAAAACAGCAAACUCUACACCUAACAUACGGUUCCUGGUGCACAGCUCUUAAAACCCUCAGAAACGACUGUUUCUUACACGCAGAAGAGAUGACGCACAUCGGGGACAGGGCGCCGGUAGCUUCCAAAUGGGGGCCAGUCUCUAGAAAGACCACCCACCAUGUACGUUGGAGGUCGGAUCUCGCCGCUGCUCUGUAUCACCCAACCCUACCUCUGUGGGGGGGAGCAGGGCUGCAGACCAAGUGCGAUCACCCGGUAGCCAAUGACUGGACGGCUAGAGCAAACCAUGUCUGCUUAACUGUUUUGCUACAGCAGCAGCUGAGCUGAGCUGAUCCAACGCUUCGUAACAAAGGAAAACGAUCGAAGGCUCCUCACACACGUGGAUUCAGCGGCACGUGCAAAAACUCAGCCCAGGGAAAGACGUGUCAAUCCGGAGUUAAUGAUCGCAUGAUCUGAGCCCCGCCAGCCACACACAACCACCCCACGGGGGAUGCAGAGCUUAAGUCUGGAGCCACUCCACGGUGACCCAGCUCUACUGUUGCCAGACUUUUAACAAGAAUGCAGUUUUUCACGGAACAAGGAGGAGGCAUGGGCGCUCCCACCGGCUUAUCUCAAUAAGGUCCUAGUUGCUGUCCCAAAAGAGAAGAGCGAAUCACAAAUGUUAGACUCUUUCGUCUUAGAGACUACCACAGAUUUUUUAAAUACUGACACCCGUUCUACAAUGCCAGGAUCUCUAUAAUGUUGGGACUAUAAGAAAGGCUAUUUAAUAUGCCCCGGCUUA